rnacentral:tRNA from 1 species
GCCACCUUAGCUCAGCUGGUAGAGCAGCCGAUUCGUAAUCGGCAGGUCGGCGGUUCGAAUCCGCCAGGUGGCU